AUCGCUUCUCGGCCUUUUGGCUAAGAUCAAGUGUAGUAUAAUCAAGCUUUAUAAGUCUGCUUUUGAAGGUAACUUGAUGACCAAAAAUGUUACCGUGUAGCAUUUUGAUUGGAAAGUCUCAGUCUCUACAGAGCAAACUGUCCUGGUGAUCCUUC
ensembl:snRNA U2 U2 spliceosomal RNA